rnacentral:rRNA from 2 species
GAGGACCGAACCGACUAAUGUUGAAAAAUUAGCGGAUGACCUGUGGCUGGGGGUGAAAGGCCAAUCAAACCGGGAGAUAGCUGGUUCUCCCCGAAAGCUAUUUAGGUAGCGCCUCGUGAAUUCAUCUCCGGGGGUAGAGCACUGUUUCGGCUAGGGGGCCAUCCCGGCUUACCAACCCGAUGCAAACUGCGAAUACCGGAGAAUGUUAUCACGGGAGACACACGGCGGGUGCUAACGUCCGUCGUGAAGAGGGAAACAACCCAGACCGCCAGCUAAGGUCCCAAAGUCAUGGUUAAGUGGGAAACGAUGUGGGAAGGCCCAGACAGCCAGGAUGUUGGCUUAGAAGCAGCCAUCAUUUAAAGAAAGCGUAAUAGCUCACUGGUCGAGUCGGCCUGCGCGGAAGAUGUAACGGGGCUAAACCAUGCACCGAAGCUGCGGCAGCGAACGUAUCACCCAAGACAACUUUACGGAGUUGACGAUUGACGGAGCGAAGCGACGUCAAAGCGUUCAUUAAAGUCGAGUUGGCUUAGGGAUACGUUCGUUGGGUAGGGGAGCGUUCUGUAAGCCUGUGAAGGUGUGUCGUGAGGCAUGCUGGAGGUAUCAGAAGUGCGAAUGCUGACAUAAGUAACGAUAAAGCGGGUGAAAAGCCCGCUCGCCGGAAGACCAAGGGUUCCUGUCCAACGUUAAUCGGGGCAGGGUGAGUCGACCCCUAAGGCGAGGCCGAAAGGCGUAGUCGAUGGGAAACGGGUUAAUAUUCCCGUACUUGGUGUUACUGCGAAGGGGGGACGGAGAAGGCUAUGUUGGCCGGGCGACGGUUGUCCCGGUUUAAGCGUGUAGGUGUGUGUUCCAGGUAAAUCCGGUUCACUUUAACACUGAGGCGUGACGACGAGGCACUACGGUGCUGAAGCAACAAAUGCCCUGCUUCCAGGAAAAGCCUCUAAGCAUCAGGUAACAUCAAAUCGUACCCCAAACCGACACAGGUGGUCAGGUAGAGAAUACCAAGGCGCUUGAGAGAACUCGGGUGAAGGAACUAGGCAAAAUGGUGCCGUAACUUCGGGAGAAGGCACGCUGACACGUAGGUGAAGUGAUUUACUCAUGGAGCUGAAGUCAGUCGAAGAUACCAGCUGGCUGCAACUGUUUAUUAAAAACACAGCACUGUGCAAACACGAAAGUGGACGUAUACGGUGUGACGCCUGCCCGGUGCCGGAAGGUUAAUUGAUGGGGUCAGCGCAAGCGAAGCUCCUGAUCGAAGCCCCGGUAAACGGCGGCCGUAACUAUAACGGUCCUAAGGUAGCGAAAUUCCUUGUCGGGUAAGUUCCGACCUGCACGAAUGGCGUAAUGAUGGCCAGGCUGUCUCCACCCGAGACUCAGUGAAAUUGAACUCGCUGUGAAGAUGCAGUGUACCCGCGGCAAGACGGAAAGACCCCGUGAACCUUUACUAUAGCUUGACACUGAACAUUGAGCCUUGAUGUGUAGGAUAGGUGGGAGGCUUUGAAGUGUGGACGCCAGUCUGCAUGGAGCCGACCUUGAAAUACCACCCUUUAAUGUUUGAUGUUCUAACGUGGACCCGUAAUCCGGGUUGCGGACAGUGUCUGGUGGGUAGUUUGACUGGGGCGGUCUCCUCCUAAAGAGUAACGGAGGAGCACGAAGGUUGGCUAAUCCUGGUCGGACAUCAGGAGGUUAGUGCAAUGGCAUAAGCCAGCUUGACUGCGAGCGUGACGGCGCGAGCAGGUGCGAAAGCAGGUCAUAGUGAUCCGGUGGUUCUGAAUGGAAGGGCCAUCGCUCAACGGAUAAAAGGUACUCCGGGGAUAACAGGCUGAUACCGCCCAAGAGUUCAUAUCGACGGCGGUGUUUGGCACCUCGAUGUCGGCUCAUCACAUCCUGGGGCUGAAGUAGGUCCCAAGGGUAUGGCUGUUCGCCAUUUAAAGUGGUACGCGAGCUGGGUUUAGAACGUCGUGAGACAGUUCGGUCCCUAUCUGCCGUGGGCGCUGGAGAACUGAGGGGGGCUGCUCCUAGUACGAGAGGACCGGAGUGGACGCAUCACUGGUGUUCGGGUUGUCAUGCCAAUGGCACUGCCCGGUAGCUAAAUGCGGAAGAGAUAAGUGCUGAAAGCAUCUAAGCACGAAACUUGCCCCGAGAUGAGUUCUCCCUGAGACUUAGAGUCUCCUGAAGGAACGUUGAAGACGACGACGUUGAUAGGCCGGGUGUGUAAGCGCAGCGAUGCGUUGAGCUAACCGGUACUAAUGAACCGUGAGGCUUAACCUUACA